rnacentral:rRNA from 1 species
UACGAGGGGGGCUAGUGUUGUUCGGAAUUACUGGGCGUAAAGGGCUCGUAGGCGGCCAACUAAGUCGGAUGUGAAAUCUCCGGGCUUAACUCGGAACGGUCAAGUGAUACUGUCGGACUAGAGUACAGAAGGGGCAACUGGAAUUCUCGGUGUAGCGGUGAAAUGCGUAGAUAUCGAGAGGAACACCUGCGGCGAAGGCGGGUUGCUGGGCUGAUACUGACGCUGAGGCGCGAAAGCCAGGGGAGCGAACGGG